ensembl:lncRNA
UGCAACACAAUAAAAUGCAUCACGCUUUAUUGUUGAAGAAGUAAUUUUCAUGAUGAAAAGCUGUAUUCACAAGCCCAGUGGCCAAUAGAUUAGAGAAAUUCAGUGUCCAUUACGUGGAGGCUUGAAAUUCUGUCCACUGAUACAACAUCCAAGUGAUGCACUCAAGACUAUGCUGGCAGUGGAGAGCUCCGGAUACCUCCUCUUUUUAGGCAGCAGAUUAUUGUCAACCCUUGGUUGAAGAUCUCAGCUUACAAUGAUGGGGACUAUCAGCACCUCCUCUUUGCAAAUGGGGGGUUGAGUCCUGUAGAGAAAAAAACACUGCAUCCAUGGUCAUCCAGCAGAAAUAGAUACAUGUUGGUCAACAUCUACACCUCAGUGUCAUACAUAUACAAGCAAGUGUGACCAAAAGAAAGGAACACAAUACACAGAGAGAACACAACACACAAAUAGAAGAACACAACGCACGGAGGCUGAAGGGAUAUUUGGUACUACUUAAGUACAACAUCUUAUUUCUGUUGAAGAGGGGCCAGGGGAACAACCCAAGUUUAAGUAGUGGGUGAGUUACUCUAAGCAAACCUUCAGUUCCAGCGAAGCAUUGCAUAUUUAUUUUCAUUUUCUUUGUCACUGCCCUAAAGAUUGCUGCUUGUCUCAGUCAGGACUGAAGGUUGGGCUGUCCUUUGCUUAGUUGUUUUUUUUACGUGUCAGGAGAACUGAGAGCUGCACUGGAAGCUUUGCUCUGAUAAAAAUGCCCACUGACCUCAAAGGGGAGCAAACAUCACCAGCAUUUUGUAGGCAUGGAAACCAACACUGGGAGAACCUAGCUUACCUUCCCAAGACAUGCUCUAACCCAGCAGCACAGCUGGGUACAGUACUAAGGAUGCCAGACCGUGGUUAUUAUGAUGUUCUACUCUGUUUAUAGGUUUCUUAUACAGAUUCAAGACAGAAGUAAGCCAGUAAAUCAGAAGUAAGCCAGUCAGAAGUAUCAGAUCUCCCAGCACAACGUCCUAUCCUCAAACCACUGCAUGAAGCUGCAGUCUACUUUGCAAAGUCUCUGGUAACUGUUUGUAUACCUCUGUGUAGCUCAGUGCAUCCUCAGGAAAAUAAAAGGUGGCAAAAUCAGUCAUAAUAUGGCAACUCUACCUUUUUCCAGUUGCCAGACCAUCAUGUUUGCGUGCAACAACACCAUUAGUUUGCAAGCCAUCCAAAUCAUCUUAUGUUUUGCAAAGCAAAAUUACUUCUGGCUCAGCAAUUGUUUUUUCCUUUUAUGUCAAAAAAUUACUCCCCUCUUCAGUUUCUGCUCCAAGUAUGUGCCACCAGGCUUUUCUCUCUGCUGUCAGGGGUGAAAAGAUCCAUCAUUUUCUCUCACCUGGUUGAAUAGGGUCUGUGACAAAUUAGAACCAGACUACAGAGCAUGAAAAAAGGAGAUUAUUUCCCUGUUGUUUGGGCCUGACAAGUACUCUUGCAGAUCAAAUAGAAGCACCAGAUGUUUUCUACUACCAGAGCUACAGAAUGCACAGGACCUGAGAGAAGCAAGAGGGUCCCAUUUCCUCUGCAUAAACUACAGUGUGUUAGAAGAUCAAAGUCAAGGGAGGGGAGCCAGGCUGAAAAAGCUCCCUGUCUGUGACUAGAACUGAAGGAGAUUUUGGUAUCUACAAGUGAAGCUGUGUUUAAUGAGGAAGGGGAGGGAAAUGCGCUCCAAAUUUCGAUGCUUGGAGAAAAGCCAUACUUUAAAAAGAACAUCUUCCUUUGGAAUGCACUCAGGUGGUUUGACCAGCUGGCCUGGUGGACACUGACCACAGUGGACACUGACUGCAGUACAACUAGUUGCCCUCUGCUUCCCCCAGAUGUCUUUUCUAAUUAAGAAAAGUCUUCAACUGAAGAUCCUGACUGACCUGACGUAAAUAGCACAGUAAAGAGAAUUGCAUCAAUACAAAGCUCCAAACCCACAGCACAUCCCAUUUCAGAGCCAGGGCAGGGAAUGGGCUGCUAGCCUGUCUCUGGGAGAAUGCUCUGUGGUAGUUAAACUGAAUUUUGUUCUUUCCACAGAAACAUCCCUUUGCUACAGAAAUGUGCUAUUCUGGUACAACAAACUAUCUACCAUAUGUUAGGAUUUUGCUUUUCCCACCAUAUUAUGUUUUCACCAUCAACCUAUCCAACCAUCCACUGAUCCCAGCCGUCAUUUCUUAGGAGGACCUUAAAAGGUUUAAAGAAUCACCACAAGGUCUUUAUUAAGAGGAGACUGUUUCUUUAUGCAGAAAUAAGGCAGCAAGGUGCCCGAAAUGACCUCGUUCUGUGACUGGAAAUUGCUGCAGCGAUUGCUAGGAGGAAAGGUCAGACAUGCCUCCCAAAAAAUCCAGCCUUACUAAAAUGGGUAUAGAAGGGUUAAAGAAGCCUGGUCAUUUGCCAGGUGUUGGCUUCGAUUUUAGAGUAUUUACUACAGAAAAGCCCUUAUAAUGUGGAUUUUAUCAGCCAGAUGCCAUGAUAUAACCCAAAUCCAGGAACUUAUGCGUGACUCCUUAGUUUCCUGCCAGUUUGGUCUUAUUAAUUGCACUGCAUCAAUUGUAUUAUAUAUUCCAAUGAGGAACAAAUCUACCAGUAUGGCUUUCUACAGAAUGCAGUACUGCGGUACAUGAAAACUGCACUCCCAUCUAUUUUCUAGUUUUAUUGCCACCAUAAAAGGGAAACUCCCUUCAUCUCAGCUGUCUUCACUAACUGUGAAAGAGGAACAAUUCUGCUGAACUAAUCUGUAAAGUGCUUUGAGCUGACCAGACUAAAUGUGGUCACCACACAUUAAAACAGCUCCUGGUGCCUACUCUAGUAUUUAUCUCCAUCCUAAAUCCUCACAGGUGAGCUCAAUGAAAGCUGCAGCUGCUCAGUCCUUUUCAGUCACAUCAGAACUGAUGACUGAGCCCUGACCUGCUGCACUACAACCACUGAUCUGUCAGUCCUCACAGCUCCCAAAAAGUACACACGUGCUCCAUUUCACAACAGAAGGCACAGACACACGAGAACGAUGUUUAGAAACAGGAAACAGUAAUUAUACCUGAUAUUCCUGAGUAGAACUGUGUUACACUGUACUUGGCACAAGAAGCACAUUUUCUAUCCCUUCAAAGAUGGUAACAGAGUAAAUGCACUAAGCACCACUGUUCAGAGCAGGGUGACCCACUGCAUGCACAAACAGACUGAGUAAUGCCUGGCCUGUUUUUCUUUUUUUCCUUCUCUGCAAAUGUCAGGGCUUGGUCAUGCCAGCAUGCACUGCAGUCAUGACUUCAGACAAUGCAAAUGCACAGUAUGCACUUCAGAUCGGGCCAGUGGGAAAUGCCAGCUUGUUAGUUGCAAAGACCCAAAAGAAUGAAGGAAAAGAGGCAAACUGUGUUACCAUCUUUCGAAGCAGGAGAAAUCCGAGGAGCGUGGCAGCAAAUAUAAAGCUAACAAGUGGAAAAAUACAAUUCGAGUAAAUUAACCUGUGGAAGACAAAGCCAGAAUACAUUAGAGGGAUAUUUGCUUGAAGAGCCUUCUGGUCUCUUCCAGUAGGCACUCUUGAGGUAUCUUUUAUUUUAUAUUCUUCACAAUACAUCUGAGAAUGCCUGUAGCAAAAGAACAGAAAGAACUGAUUACUAGGAUAUAUACAGAGGAAAGGAAAUAAGAAAUGAAUAGUUUACCAAGGCAUCUUUUGGUGAAGAAUUCUUUCAAAAUAUGAAUUAAACUAUCUCACACCUAUCCAGCAUGCAAACUGUAUACACAGCUAAAGGAAAAAAAAGAGAAGAUAUUUGUGAACUGAGCUUAAAAUGUCACGGAAACAGAUGUCCUCCUAACAGACUGAGAAUUCAUUUCCUUGUACAUAGGCAAGUGUGGCAGAGAAACCCACCCACUCCCAUUUGUACCUAUGAUAUUUAAGCAGACCACAAACAUUGACCAAAAUCUGAAAUACGUAACAAAUGAUUACAUCUAACUGUUCUCUUCACAACUUGGCUUAUUUUAAGAUGUUAUUAUACUUUGUGGCAUCAAGGUCAUAAUACAAAGCCAUGACCAUAAUGCAAUUUGAGACCAAAUUGCCCUGAGAAGACAUACUGCUAUGACCUUUAGGUCCUAACAGUCAGGGACUUAAGCCUGACCAUUUCUGCAUUUACAACGUUCUGCUCAUGCAGAUGACAUUUCACAGCAUGAAAUCAGUUGACAUCACUGAUCUGAGAGCUGUAAUGCAGGGCUACAUCCUGCCAUUGCUUCCAUAGAACAGAAAAGGACAUUAGAUGAUAACACCUGUAAACAGAUAGCACUUCAAACUUGCAGGUCAGUUUGAUUCUCUUUAUCCCCUUCCAUCCAAAAAAUAACACAUCAGUGUGUUUAAAGGUCAAGUUUGUGUGUCUGGUGGGUCUAGAAAUACAUACUCAGGUCAGCUUGGGCAGGAGUUGAAAAGAAAUUAUAACCUUGUUGGAUUCAUUCCAUCAUUGCUGCUUCAUCUGUAUUGCUUUGAGAGGUGUGGAAUGCACAAAAACACCUGUAAAUCAAACACAGGAGAAUAAAACACAUCUCCCACAGCAAUGUGGGCUGUAAGGAGGCAAGUGUCAUCCUCAACACAGAACAGGACUAAUUUUGGCAUUUGUUUGCAGCUGUGGCUGUAGUCUGACAAAGCCAUGGGCUUAGCUAGGAUGUGCUGUCACCCAGCUGCACAAGAAGCCAGUCUCUGAUCUCUGCAGCAGAAGAUUAGUUGCACACAUUUUCCACUUCUAACACCUUCUGGCCUACAGCAGACUAUGAUUAUACCAACAGAAAAGAUGCUCUUAUCAUCAACUGCAGUGAAGUUGCACCCAAGCACAGAGCUCUGGGAAGCAUCAGCUUCCCAGUUUGCCAAUUUCAACAGGGAAUGGAAGCCUAAAUUUAGCAGAAGUCAUAACUGCAGGUUUAAAUUCAACUGUGGGAACAAUUGCUGUGAAAUUAAUUAGAUCACCAAGUGUGCAUAGUUGUAACGUGGCUUGCAGGUGCGCAGCACCCUUCCAGGAUCAGCCCUUUCCAAUGCAUUACCUUGUUUUAAAGCAGCAGAACACAGAUGCAAUGGAAUGCCAGUAGAGACAGCACUAAGAUUUGAGCUUGUAAAUCCCUUAUUUCCUCACAGAAGUUCAACUUUCCUGCAGAAUAUGAUUUUCCAGUUACAUUCCUGCCUUUAACACAAAUUUUCCAGCUAUACUGACUGAGCCAUAAGGAAGUGCUUUGCUCAGGGUUACACUGACUGAUACACGGGACAAAGAAAAACUACUUCUGACUGUUGAGACGUCCUUUGAAUCACUCUGUUAAGUUCCAGUUCAAAUAAACCAUAAUAAAAUCUACAAUGCUGCCUCAAGUGCAUCUAGCAGAUCACCCUCUGUAGCACCUUUACCACCAGGUUAUUUUCAAUAAGUAACAAUAUUUCCACCCUGAGAUGAGCUUUACUAAGCACAGCUCUGUGUGUUACAAUGAAACAAGAGAUGUUCACCCAGGGCAUUUUGCUGCAUUCUACUUGCACUGCGUUAAACCUUCACACACACUGACAGUUCAUCCCAGUAAGUGGCUGACUGAUAGCUGUGCAAACACACCAGCUCAUGCAGCCACUGAAUUUCACAACAAAGAUUAACAGAGCAGCUCUGUCCCUCUGUCUCUGGCUCUGAAGUAACUCAGUGUUGGUGACAUUUGUAUGACCGUAUCACCCAUCCACAGCAGAGGAACCUCUGAAAGGCAGAGAAAGUCAAACCCAGUGCACAGCCAGUCUAAAGACAGUAUGUAAGGAUUUCUGCCCUUUCAGCACCUUUAUCAGCCGGUGGCAGCAUGCAGUUCAGGUGGUUGUUAACUGGGAACUCACUGAUCUGACAAAGAGAGCCUCUGAAAUGCAGUAUAGUCACAGUAGACUCAUGGCACACAAUUUAUAUAGCACUAUCUGCUUGGGAAGCAGCUCACCCUAGUAAGAAUCCUCCCAGAGUGCUGCAGUAAACAGCACUUCACAUCUGAACUGAUCGUCUGUUUGACUUUAUAGGAACAAACAUACAAGCACCAUACAUAAGUCCUGCAUGUACAAACAUGUAAUGCUUGCAUGUAGCUGUUUAUUAACAUGCAUAAAACCUGCACAAAUAUAAUUGUGUGAGUCACAUAAGGAAGAAUUCAGUAGAUAUAAUGGACAAAGGCCACGUUGUAGGUCAAAACUCUCCCCUCUUGGAGAAGACGUCACACUUUCCUGUUUCAGUUUUGCCAUCUAUAUAUUGGCAAUAUCAGGUUGUUUUGGGGUUUGUUUCCAGCAAGUGUGUUGCCUGGAUAAAUGAAGUUUUCAGCUAUUCAGUUAAGGAUUCUAUCAAAACAUUAACAGUAAGUCAAGUUUAAAGCUAAAUCUGAGAGUAAGCUUGGAAACUAUCACUUAAAAAUAUAUAUCUAGGAAGCUGCCCUGUUCUCAGCUGAUUUCUGUACUGUACAAGUACUGAAUUCAGGAACUAUUUUAAGAGAAUGAUCAAGAAAGGAAAGCAGUAACAGCGUAGGAAUCAGCCUCUGUUCUCAGCUUUGGUGGCAGCCUCAUAGUUGAAAGCAAUACUUACAUGAAAUGCUUAGCAGCCUGGAAAUAUCUGGGACAAAUGAUGUUUAGGGAAGUGACAGUUGCCAAAGCUCAGUGAGCAUGCACUGAAUGUAACACUAUGCAUUGUUACUAACUCAUAUGGGAAAGAACAUUGUAUUCAAUGUCCCAUCUCUUCAUCUAUAUGGCUGUCUCCCAAAUGAGAGCACAGGAAUGGUCACCAAGAGGUCAAAUCCUUUCCUGUAUGGUUAAUAUUUUCAUAGAAUGUCUGUUUAAUCUGAACAACACAAAGUUGAGAGGAGCUGCAAGAAAAGUAGAGAAGCAAAGCAAAAGCAAAAUGUUUUUGAUAAACUGUAGCAGAUGAAAACAAACAAACAAAGGAGAAGCGAUUCAGUUAGGAGAAGUGGAUACAGAACUCUACAUUCAUCUGGACAAGUAUGAAAAAGAGAAAAAGGGGAACACCAGGCAAAUAUCAGCUGGUUAUCACAAAGAAAACCGACGCUCUGACAAAGAAAACAUACGCUCUGAACUGAAAUGAUUCACCACUUAUUUUUUUGCUCAAACCAAGAUAUUUCAGUUAGUCUGUUAUGGACUGUUUGAAACAAGGCAGCACACAAUGAACUGUGCCUCUGUGUGAGCUACAGACUGCACAUUCAUACUGGGUGCAGUAUCUAGACUAAAGCCUGGGGUUGUUUCCUCUCCCCUCCCUGCACUGGAGGGAGGAGGCAUCAGCAACCACAGCAAUAAAAGCAGCAGCCACCCCAGCUGCCAGUGCUUUCCCCCCUUCAUGGCUCCAGGAGUAUGGCUUAUAUUUUAUUCAUGAAAAAUGAGGCCUCUGGGGGUCUAGGGAAGGAAAAAAAAAAAAACACCCAACAGGAAGUAAAUACUUCUUGGGGGCACUUGCUUGCAAUCUGGCAAGUGUCCAAGGCAUCGUGAAUGAGAAGCAGGGGUGGAGGAGGGAAGCCUGAAGCCUCCAUUCCUGACAGCCCUCCUCUGAUGGGAGGAAGGAGGACCACAAAGAGUGAGCUGCACCCUGAAGGUCACUGUGGUGACUCAGUACAGCAGGGAAUGAAGUGGGUCCUGCAGUGAGGUGACCCCAGCCAAGGCUGCAGGGAGUCCCUGUAUCACAAGGGGCGUGCACGCUGCAAGGUGCAUGGCUGUGUGACACGAUGGGGGUCCUCCACAGACUGGUUUAGAGGCUGCUAUCUACCCAGCUCUUACAGCAUAAGCUAUUGCUCUGACUUCUAGUAAUCUCUCCCGACUUUGGCACACACCUCUCAUGUCCCAAAACUACAUCACUCCAAAAGCUGUUUUGUACAAGCUUUCAGAAUAAGAGCACAUCUGAGCUCGCUGGGAAAAGAUGUAUUAUCAUCCUCACUAGUGAGGCAGUCACCUCAUUCCCUUUCAUCCCCAGUAAAAAGGGCUACAGUUAAUAUCAGUAAACAAUCUCCUACAAUCCUUCAUUUUCCUGAGAAGAAAGACAUGAAUCCGAUGUCAUCUGCCUACCUACCACUAAUCAGAGACAGUGUCAUGUGAACUCUAACUGCAGAGGCACAGCCAUCAUCUCCCCUCACAAUUCAAUCCUAACACUGACACAGGACCGCCUGUUCCUAAUUUCAUAAGCCUUACCAUCAGGGAUGACUGUCUCUGAACUAAUUAUUUUGCACAGGACACUGAAGCUCUUUCUGAGAAGCCUGGACUUCUUGCAGAUCUCUGGAAUCUGCAUGGAAAGAAGGAAGCAGUCUAUUACUUUCUGACAGACUUUCUUAAAAAGAACACCUGCAAGAAAAGGUUUAUCUCUAGAAAAUUAUAAAAGAAUGUGGUAUUUUACAUUAACAUCCAUUUUUCAUUGUCUUAAUUACCAUUUAACAAACAUUAGCCCUCAGAAUAUCUCCCCUACAGGGUUCAGUAAAUGAGAAACAAGCCAUAGUGGUUCAGUCAGUAUGAAGGGAAGGGAAAAACAAG